UGGGGAAUAUUGCACAAUGGGCGCAAGCCUGAUGCAGCAACGCCGCGUGAGGGAUGACGGCCUUCGGGUUGUAAACCUCUUUUAGUAGGGAAGAAGCGAAAGUGACGGUACCUGCAGAAAAACGCACCGGCUAACUACGUGCCAGCAGCCGCGGUAAUACGUAGGGUGCGAGCGUUGUCCGGAAUUAUUGGGCGUAAAGAGCUCGUAGGCGGUCUGUCGCGUCUGCUGUGAAAAUCCCGAGGCUCAACCUCGGGCCUGCAGUGGGUACGGGCAGACUAGAGUGCGGUAGGGAGAAUGGAAUUCCUGGUGUAGCGGUGGAAUGCGCAGAUAUCAGGAGGAACACCGAUGGCGAAGGCAGUUCUCUGGGCCGUAACUGACGCUGAGGAGCGAAAGCGUGGGGAGCGAACAGGAUUAGAUACCCUGGUAGUCCACGCCGUAAACGUUGGGCGCUAGAUGUGGGGCACCAUUCCACGGUUUCCGUGUCGCAGCUAACGCAUUAA
rnacentral:rRNA from 1 species